AGAAAUUCUUUUUGUUCUGGGUAGUGGUGCAGAAAUGUUCAAAGAAAUAGUCGAGAAAAAAAACAAUCUUCGUGAUAAUGAAAGACAGCGUUACAAGGCUACUGUUACUUAUUGUCUGUAUAUGAGUGGAUUUAUUUUGUAACGUAAAUGCUUUAAAAUGUAACCACGUGCUCAAACUCAAAGGGAGUUUUGAUCACAGUUCCUCCAAGCGAGUUUGCCAAUAUGUUCGGCCCUGAACACGGUGGUGUGAUUGCAUGAGUCCAUGUGGCCGUGUAUUUUCAAAAGGCUGAUUUAGUACUUUCUGGUCUUUCCUUGAGGGAUUCAAAAACUGAUGGUCUUUCCUUGCGGGAUUCAAAAACUGAUGGUUUUUGAGUGACACAUUUACGGUAAGAUUUGAAAUGAGGUGCCGUGGGAGCCAAACCAUCAUUUCCUUGUGAAUUUUAAAUGUUACAUUUUUGUGCCAUACUUGCAUAAAUUGGAUAAUCCAAUAAAGUCGUUUAAAAACCA